UGGGGAAUUUUGGACAAUGGGGGAAACCCUGAUCCAGCCAUCCCGCGUGUGCGAUGAAGGCCUUCGGGUUGUAAAGCACUUUUGGCAGGAAAGAAACGUCAUGGGUUAAUACCCCGUGAAACUGAUGGUACCUGCAGAAUAAGCACCGGCUAACUACGUGCCAGCAGCCGCGGUAAUACGUAGGGUGCAAGCGCUAAUCGGAAUUACUGGGCGUGAAGCUUGCGCAGGCGGUUCGGAAAGAAAGAUGUGAAAUCCCAGAGCUCAACUUUGGAACUGCAUUUUUAACUACCGGGCUAGAGUGUGUGAGAGGGAGGUGGAAUUCCGCGUGUAGCAGUGAAAUGCGUAGAUAUGCGGAGAAACACCGAUGGCGAAGGCAGCCUCCUGAGAUAACACUGACGCUCAUGCACGAAGGCGUGGGGGGCAAACAGG
rnacentral:rRNA from 1 species